AGCGAACGCUGGCGGCAGGCCUAACACAUGCAAGUCGAACGAACUCUUCGGAGUUAGUGGCAGACGGGUGAGUAACACGUGGGAACGUGCCUUUAGGUUCGGAAUAACUCAGGGAAACUUGUGCUAAUACCGAAUGUGCCCUUCGGGGGAAAGAUUUAUCGCCUUUAGAGCGGCCCGCGUCUGAUUAGCUAGUUGGUGAGGUAAAGGCUCACCAAGGCGACGAUCAGUAGCUGGUCUGAGAGGAUGAUCAGCCACAUUGGGACUGAGACACGGCCCAAACUCCUACGGGAGGCAGCAGUGGGGAAUCUUGCGCAAUGGGCGAAAGCCUGACGCAGCCAUGCCGCGUGAAUGAUGAAGGUCUUAGGAUUGUAAAAUUCUUUCACCGGGGACGAUAAUGACGGUACCCGGAGAAGAAGCCCCGGCUAACUUCGUG
rnacentral:rRNA from 1 species